ACGUACCACUAGGGGUGCCAGUUUCGUUGCUUUAACGGCCUGGCUGAGAUCACACCCUCCGCACCUGAUCCGGGUCAUGCCGGCGCAGGGAAGUGACCAAGCGUGAUC
rnacentral:ncRNA from 2 species